CCUACGGGAGGCAGCAGUGAGGAAUAUUGGUCAAUGGGCGAGAGCCGGAACCAGCCAAGUCGCGUGAAGGAUGAAGGAGCUAUGGUUUGUAAACUUCUUUUAUAUGGGAAUAAAGUGAGGAACGUGUUCCUUUUUGUAUGUACCAUAUGAAUAAGCAUCGGCUAACUCCGUGCCAGCAGCCGCGGUAAUACGGAGGAUGCGAGCGUUAUCCGGAUUUAUUGGGUUUAAAGGGUGCGUAGGUGGUUAAUUAAGUCAGCGGUGAAAGUUUGUGGCUCAACCAUAAAAUUGCCGUUGAAACUGGUUGGCUUGAGUCUAUUUGAGGUAGGCGGAAGUCGUGGUGUAGCGGUGAAAUGCGUAGAUAUCACGCAGAACUCCGAUUGCGAAGGCAGCUUACUGGACUAUAACUGACACUGAGGCACGAAAGCGUGGGGAUCAAACAGGAUUAGAUACCCGAGUAGUC
rnacentral:rRNA from 1 species